rnacentral:rRNA from 1 species
AGAGUUUGAUCCUGGCUCAGGAUGAACGUUGGCUGUGUGCCUAAGGUAUGCAAGUCGGACGAUCCCUUUGAAUUACUUGAGACUUCGGUUGAUUGUUUUUCUUGUUGGGAUAGUGGCAAACGGGUGAGUAACAUGUGGAUUAUCUGCCCUGAAGACGGGAAUAGCUCAUCGAAAGAUGGGGUAAUACUCGAUAGUCUUACAUUCUUUUAGAUUGUAAGUAAAGCUUCUGCGCUUCAGGAGGGGUCCGCAUCCUAUCAGCUUGUUGGUGAGGUAAUGGCUCACCAAGGCUAAGACGGGUAGCUGGCGUGAGAGCGCGGUCAGCCACCAUGGGAACUGAGACACGGUCCAUACUCCUACGGGAGGCAGCAAUUAGGAAUCUUGCGCAAUGGGGGCAACCCUGACGCAGCGACACAGUGUGGAGGAGGAAGGUCUUCGGAUUGUAAACUCCUUUUAUGAGGGAAGAAUAGAUGACGGUACCUCAUGAAUAAGCACCUGCUAACUACGUGCCAGAAGCAUCGGUGAUGCGUAGGGUGCAAACGUUAUCCGGAUUUAUUGGGCGUAUAGAGAAGCGUAGGUGUUCUUGUAAGUCUUUAGUUAAAUACCACGGCUCAACCGUGGAGAAGCUUUGGAAACUACAGGAAUUGAGACAGGAAUGGGCGAAUGGAAUUCCCAGUGGAGCGGUGAAAUGCGUUGAUAUUGG